rnacentral:tRNA from 1 species
GUAAACAUAGCUCAGUUGGUAGAGCAAUAGUUUGUGAUACUAAUGGUCACGGGUUCAAAUCCCGUUGUUUACC